AACACGGAGGAAAAGAAACCAACAGGGAUUGCCUUAGUAGCGGCGAGUGAAGCGGCAAAAGCUCAAAUUUGAAAUCUGGCUCUUUCAGAGUCCGAGUUGUAAUUUGAAGAAGGUAUCUUUGGGUCUGGCUCUUGUCUAUGUUUCUUGGAACAGAACGUCACAGAGGGUGAGAAUCCCGUGCGAUGAGAUGAUCCAGGCCUAUGUAAAGUUCCUUCGAAGAGUCGAGUUGUUUGGGAAUGCAGCUCUAAGUGGGUGGUAAAUUCCAUCUAAAGCUAAAUAUUGGCGAGAGACCGAUAGCGAACAAGUACAGUGAUGGAAAGAUGAAAAGAACUUUGAAAAGAGAGUGAAAAAGUACGUGAAAUUGUUGAAAGGGAAGGGCUUGAGAUCAGACUUGGUAUUUUGUAUGUUACUUCUUCGGGGGUGGCCUCUACAGUUUAUCGGGCCAGCAUCAGUUUGGGCGGUAGGAGAAUUGCGUUGGAAUGUGGCACGGCUUCGGUUGUGUGUUAUAGCCUUCGUCGAUACUGCCAGCCUAGACUGAGGACUGCGGUUUAUACCUAGAGCGUUGCGUAGUAGUUGAGG
rnacentral:rRNA from 1 species